rnacentral:rRNA from 1 species
UGGGCGCAAGCCUGAUCCAGCAAUGCCGCGUGUGUGAAGAAGGCCUUCGGGUUGUAAAGCACUUUUAUCAGGAGCGAAAUACUACCGGUUAAUAACCGGUGGGGCUGACGGUACCUGAGGAAUAAGCACCGGCUAACUUCGUGCCAGCAGCCGCGGUAAUACGAAGGGUGCAAGCGUUAAUCGGAAUUACUGGGCGUAAAGGGUGCGUAGGCGGUUCGUUAAGUCUGUCGUGAAAUCCCCGGGCUCAACCUGGGAAUGGCGAUGGAUACUGGCGAGCUAGAGUGUGUCAGAGGAUGGUGGAAUUCCCGGUGUAGCGGUGAAAUGCGUAGAGAUCGGGAGGAACAUCAGUGGCGAAGGCGGCCAUCUGGGACAACACUGACGCUGAAGCACGAAAGCGUGGGGAGCAAACAGGAUUAGAUACCCUGGUAGUCCACGCCCUAAACGAUGCGAACUGGAUGUUGGUCUCAACUCGGAGAUCAGUGUCGAAGCUAACGCGUUAAGUUCGCCGCCUGGGGAGUAC